rnacentral:rRNA from 1 species
CAUGCUAGUUGCACGAGUUCACGCUCGUAGCAUAUAGCUCAGUAACACGUGGUCAAGCUACCCUGCAGACACGGACAACCUCGGGAAACUGAGGCUAAUCCGCGAUACCGAUCCCACGCUGGAAUGCCGGGAUCCACAAACGCUCCGGCGCUGCAGGAUGCGGCUGCGGCCGAUUAGGUAGACGGUGGGGUAACGGCCCACCGUGCCGAUAAUCGGUACGGGUUGUGAGAGCAAGAGCCCGGAGACGGAAUCUGAGACAAGAUUCCGGGCCCUACGGGGCGCAGCAGGCGCGAAACCUUUACACUGCACGCAAGUGCGAUAAGGGGACUCCGAGUGCGAGGGCAUAUAGUCCUCGCUUUUGAGAACCGUAAGGCGGUUCUCGAAUAAGAGCUGGGCAAGACCGGUGCCAGCCGCCGCGGUAAUACCGGCAGCUCAAGUGAUGGCCAAUCUUAUUGGGCCUAAAGCGUCCGUAGCUGGCCACGAAAGUCCGUCGGGAAAUCCAUCUGCCCAACAGAUGGGCGUCCGGCGGAAACUUCGUGGCUUGGGACCGGAAGGCUCGAGGGGUACGUCCGGGGUAGGAGUGAAAUCCCGUAAUCCUGGACGGACCGCCGAUGGCGAAAGCACCUCGAGAAGACGGAUCCGACAGUGAGGGACGAAAGCUAGGGUCUCGAACCGGAUUAGAUACCCGGGUAGUCCUAGCCGUAAACAAUGUUCACUAGUUGUGGCACAGGCUACGAGCUU